rnacentral:rRNA from 1 species
UACGAACCGUCCAAACGUUAUUCGGAUUUAUUGGGCUUAAAGGGUACGUAGGCGGCCCUGUUAGUCGGGUGUGAAAUCCCUCGGCUCAACCGAGGAACUGCGCCCGAUACUGCAGGGCUUGAGGGAGACAGAGGUAAGCGGAACUGAUGGUGGAGCGGUGAAAUGCGUUGAUAUCAUCAGGAACACCAGUGGCGAAAGCGGCUUACUGGGUCUCUUCUGACGCUGAGGUACGAAAGCUAGGGGAGCGAACGGGAUUAGAUACCCCGGUAGUCCUAGCUGUAAACGUUGAGCACUUGAUUGAGGAUCCCCCCAUAGGUUCUCGGUCGAAGCGAAAGUGAUAAGUGCUCCGCCUGGGGAGUAUGGUCGCAAGGCUGAA